rnacentral:tRNA from 1 species
AAACAAGAAGCUAUAUAAGCGACUAGUUUCGACCUAGUUAAUUGACAAAUAAAUGUCCUUGUUUA